CAGCAGUGAGGAAUUUUGCGCAAUGGGGGGAACCCUGACGCAGCAACGCCGCGUGGGGGAUGACGGCCUUCGGGUUGUAAACCCCUUUCAGGAGGGAAGAAAUUGACGGUACCUCCAGAAGAAGCCCCGGCCAACUACGUG
rnacentral:rRNA from 1 species